rnacentral:lncRNA from 1 species
AGAGUUGAGUUGGGUUUACAUUUUGUUAGUAGAGUACCCUAUGUUCAUUUUUUGUAUUUGAUGACUAGUGAUGUUGAGAAGAGAAUGUAAUGUGUAUUUUGAGGUAAAUGUGAUGUAAGAAAGAAAUGAUGAAAUGAAAUAUAAGGAAUUCGAAAGUGAACAAGAUGAAUGCAAUGUAUAUGAUAAAAAAUGAAUCAUAGUACUUGUAAAUGUUUAGUUUUCCUUUCUUUCACUAAUGGCUAUUGCUUACCCUCGU